UGCUUGAAAUUUUUAUUGUGUUGUUUAAAAACAAAAAUAAUCAUUUUCUGAUAGUAUUUUAAUAACAGUUAAAAUGAUUACUUCUCACCUCAAUGUGAAAAAGUUUUUAAGUUUAAUGUAUGGUUAUAUGCAAUUUUAAAAAUGUAUUUAUAUAUAUGCUAAAAUAUUCCCCAAAGGGACAUCAUUUAGAAAAAAACAAGUAAAUCCAAUUAGGAACAUCUGUUUUUCAAAGUGAUGUCUACAUAAUAAUCUAUCAAUUAGCAAGCUACUUUAUUUUAAUAUUAUUACUGAUUGCAGGCAGUUCUUAGGUGCAAAGCAAAUUUGGAGAAACGGUUUCUAAGCACCAUCACCAACAAUGUCAGCAAUAAGUAGAUUUUGAAGUUUGUUCACUUCCACAAAGUCCAAAGUUCUGUAAGUUAAACAGUGGGUUUCCAAGGGUGCUUAUCAGUGUGGUUAAACAAGGUAUGGUGAUACUGACAUGGGCAGUGCUUUUGGAAAAAAAAAAAAAAAGCUUCGCUGAAUCAUUUUACACAACAUGGGUUACUUAGAAAGAAUAUUAAAUGUUUUAUCAUUUGUAUCUUCAAUUUAACAUUGCCUUAUGUUUUUUAUGAUAAAUAUUUUCCAAAACCUAAAGAUUGUGUGUCAAAACUUGUGUUUCUUUUUUGGACUCACCCAGUGGAGUCUGAGGAUGCGGGCUCAGUACCCUGCCUCCCCUGACCCACCCCCAAGAGUAUGGAUGUUCUGAAUCCAUUGAUCCUUGUAACUGAUGGUGGUCAUUAAAUGAGCGUUUAGUUGAAAUAGCAGUGUCAUAUGUAAAAGUUUUAAGUUUUUAGAUUAAUUAAAAAUAUUUCCUAGUUCUAAAUAUAUCUGAGUUUUUCAGGCGUAUGUCUAUGUGUGUGUUGCUGUAUAACUGGGAAGCAGGUGUAGAAGGUUAAGACCCAAGCUUUAUUGAAUGGCUACUCUGUCAGCUAAUGUGCUAAGUGCUUUUCAGGUGUUGCUUCAUUUAACCCACCUGAUACACAGUCACGAAGAAUUUUACUAUUUCCAUUUUGCACGAAAUAGUGAAGAAGGGCUCAGAGAAAAUAAGACACUUGCCCAAGGUCACACAGCUUGUAAGCAGGGGGAGCAGGGAGUUGGAUGCCUAUUACCCUGGUUUAUACUCUUUCCCUCCUUGUACUCUGAUUAAUCGUUUUCUCUUCAAGACUGUGAACACCCCACUCCCUUCUUUUUUUAAGAGGUGGGGCCUUGCUUUGUCACUCAGGCUGGAGUACAGUGGCACCAGCACAGCUCACUGCUGCCUCAAAUUCCUAGGCUCAAGCGAUCCUCCCACCUCAGCCUCCCAAAUAGCUGGUACUACGGGUGUGUGCCACCACACCCAGCUAAUUUUUUAAAAAUUUUUUGUAGGGAUUGGGUUUUUCCAUCUUGUCCAGGCUGGUCUUGAACUCCUGGGCUCAAGAGAUCUUUCUGCCUCAGCCUUCCCAAGUGCUGGGAUCAUAGAUGCGAGCCUGUGUGAGCCCCUUAAGAGCAGCCUUCUAUUAAUUUUUGGGGACUUCACAACUCCUUAACUAAAGUGGAUAUUUAAUAAAUGUUUGUUAGAAAAUCUCAGCAAAUCAUCCAAGUGUCAGCUCAGGACAGGAGUUGAAAGCUCUUUGCCAACAUAUUUUAAACUCACCUUUGGGACUGACUAUCUAUGAUUAUUGAGUAAUCAUUUAAGAAAAAUGUUUGAGAACACAUUUGCAGGCUUCAAACUACACAAAGAAAUGGGAGAAAAGGAAUGAUGCCAAAGACUGGGGUCAAGGUUGAAAAAAAUGAGAUUUAAAUUUGGAAAAUGAUAAAUUAACCAGAAAAGUUUAUGCAUUUUGGGUUUUACUCUGUGGUCUUGCUGCAGAACAAGUGGAGAAACUAACAACCCAUGGAAGAAAAUUCCUAGAAUACUGGGAUCAAGUCAAAACACCUGAUGGUUUUAGAGGACAGAAUUUUUGGAGGGAAAAACACAACCAGAUGACUCUCUGCACCCCUUUCCCAGGCCAUGGGCACCUGCCUGAUUCCUAUGGUCAUGAAGGAACAUUUUUCUGGUGUGGCCAUAUUCAUGGUGUCAGUGCAAUCUCAUCAGAGAUGAGGCUCCCCACUCAAGCUGCCAUGUGACUUGACAGCAUCCCGGCUCUUCAUACCGUUCCCUCACCAGAGUGGUGUCCAGUUUCAGGAGCACGGAAGAAAACAGUCGGAGUGCAGUGGCACAAUCAUAGCUCACUGCAGCCUUCAACUCCUAGGCUCAAGUGAUCCUCCUGCCUCAGCCGCCUGAGUCGCUGGAACUACAGGCUCCUUGCUGUGUGCUGCUCUUCGUGCCUCAGCCCCAUAUGCUCUGGGGCCUCCACCCUGGGGGAGCUCAGGAGGAGAAAUGUGCUUCACUUCCCAGAGACGGCAUCCUAUGGAAACUAAACGAAGACACACUCCAGCACUUGACAACUAACACACUGUUCACAGCCUGAGCAGCAUCAAGCAUUCCGAAAACCAAAACUGGGACUUUGUAUUACAGUUUUUAAGAGUAGAGAGAGAGAGAGAGACAUGGCAACCCUUACAGCAGGCCCACCUCUGACUGUUUACCUUUGUCAGCAAUUCUACCUGAAGUAAAAACAAACAAACAAAAAACAACCAACCAAACAACAACAACAAAAAAACACAGGGAGCAGAAGCAGCCUCGUGAAAAAUGGCCUGUUCAAAAGCACUGAGAUGUGUGAAAAUAUAAGCCAGCACAGACUUCCUGUCACUUUAAAAAUGUUUUGAAUCCCAGAUGCGAAGCAGGAUGCUAGGGCUUCUUGUAGCUGGCACCAAGUUUCAGGAAAACAUAAAAACAAACAAACAAAACCCUCUACAUGUUGAUUCACUUGAAAUAAACAUUUCAUUACGCUCAUAAUAAAGACAAGUUCUUGACUGAGU